rnacentral:tRNA from 1 species
CAUUAGAUUGCUAAAAGCAAGCACUGGCCUCUUAAGCCAAUUAUAGUAGAAGCCGCGCCUACUUCUAAUG